CCACACCACCACCUUCUCAUAAAGCUUCAUCUUUGAUUUAGAAGAGUCUGGGAGAUUCGAAGAAAGGAGCUUGGAUCAGCCAUCCAGAUCCUUCUACGCGAGCUAGCACCCCGCAAAGGAAGAUCCAAUCAGGGCUUCGAGUGGAUGAUCUAUAGAGGUCGGACGGCCUGUACGGCUACUUGGCAUCAGUGAGAGCUUCAUACCAUACCUACCAGUAGUGAAGAUCAUCAAC
rnacentral:lncRNA from 1 species